rnacentral:rRNA from 1 species
GACGAACGCUGGCGGCGUGCUUAACACAUGCAAGUCGAACGGAAAGGCCCUGCUUGCGGGGUACUCGAGUGGCGAACGGGUGAGUAACACGUGGGUGAUCUGCCCUGCACUUCGGGGUAAGCCUGCGAAACUGGGUCUAAUACCGGAGAGGAGCGAUUUUGAGGGUGAGGGGUGGAAAGUAUGUUCGGUGUGGGGUGAGCGUCCGGCCUAUCCGCUUGUUGGUGGGGUAGUGGCCUACCAAGGCGGCGACGGGUGGCCGGCCCGGGGGGGUGGACGGCCAACUUGGGGCUGGGAUAACGGCCCGAACUCUACGGGGGGGCGCAGUUGGGGAUUUUGCCCAAUGGGCGCGAGCCUGAUGCAGCGACGCCGCGGUGGGGAUGACGGCCUUCCGGUUGUAAACCCCCUUCGCUAGGGACGAAGCUUUUUGUGACGGUACCUAGAAAAGAAGCACCGGCUAACUACGUG